GACGAACGCUGGCGGCGUGCCUAAUACAUGCAAGUAGAACGCACAGUUUAUACCGUAGCUUGCUACACCAUAGACUGUGAGUUGCGAACGGGUGAGUAACGCGUAGGUAACCUGCCUGGUAGCGGGGGAUAACUAUUGGAAACGAUAGCUAAUACCGCAUAAUAUUAAUUAUUGCAUGAUAAUUAAUUGAAAGGUGCAAUUGCACCACUACCAGAUGGACCUGCGUUGUAUUAGCUAGUAGGUGAGGUAACGGCUCACCUAGGCGACGAUACAUAGCCGACCUGAGAGGGUGAUCGGCCACACUGGGACUGAGACACGGCCCAGACUCCUACGGGAGGCAGCAGUAGGGAAUCUUCGGCAAUGGACGAAAGUCUGACCGAGCAACGCCGCGUGAGUGAAGAAGGUUUUCGGAUCGUAAAGCUCUGUUGUAAGAGAAGAACGGGUGUGAGAGUGGAAAGUUCACACUGUGACGGUAUCUUACCAGAAAGGGACGGCUAAUUCCGUG
rnacentral:rRNA from 1 species